rnacentral:rRNA from 1 species
UACAGAGGGUGCAAGCGUUGUUCGGAAUUACUGGGCGUAAAGGGCGAGUAGGCGGCCUGGUAAGUCAGAUGUGAAAUCCCGGGGCUCAACUCCGGAAGUGCAUUUGAAACUACCUGGCUAGAGUGCAGUAGAGGUUGGUGGAAUACCUAGUGUAGAGGUGAAAUUCGUAGAUAUUAGGUGGAACACCGGUGGCUAAGGCGGCCAACUGGACUGCGACUGACGCUGAGGCGCGAAAGCGUGGGGAUCAAACAGG